GCACCUGUUGAUCUACCGUUAGUCGAUGGACUUCAAGCCACCGUGGUUGCUGUGGUGCCUCUCCUUCGUAGCUGUUCCCUGUAGUGUCGAACUCCGACCGUGCGGUCUUUGUUGAUCCUCGAUGAAGCCUCUCUCUUCUCCCUUCACCAACGAAGCGCUCGCGCUGCCCUCAAUCCGCCUCGAGAAGGUCGCUAGCUUGUUCACCGCAACUCCUCACUACUACUGCUCUGCUAAUUUACCAUCGUCAGAAUCCACCAUUCCCUACUGUGACCUGCUCAACUUCCACACUUUGGACCAAACCCGCCACUUCCUCAACCCUCUCCGUGGCCACCACCCUUCUGACCUUCCUUACUCCUCCCUCUUAUUUCCUCCUCCUCUCGUGCCAUGGUUAUACCCGCCUCUUCCCUUCGUCACCUCUCUUCGUGGCCACCGCCCAUUGCAGACUUCUCCUAUUUCAGAUUGUUGCCUCUCCUCCGUCGAUUGUCGCCCCCUUCUUCCUUUCCAUGGCUACUCUCUAUCGUCGCCGAUCUUCCUCACCGACGGACUUCAAGCGAGCCGAGUGUCUGCCUCUUCUCUCAUGAUCUGUCUUGUCACAACCGAUAGCCUCCUUUUACUCCCUACAUCAGCAUCUUCUCUAACAUUGCAACUCCAUCGAUUACCGCUCUCUUCUCAAGUGCUCAUCUCUGCACCAAGCGCCUCGCCCUCGGCGCCCACCGCACCCUCCCCCCCCUUUUUUUUGCUUUAGACCUUGGCACCUCUACCUCAUCGACCGCCAAUCCCUCCUCCAUUAACGUUGUUCGCAAAUUUACAGCAUUCAACGUAGGUCUCCCACAUCUCUACUAAUAUGCUAUUGUUGGUUUUCUCCAAGCAACCUCCUCUCAGACGAAGCACUCCCCUUCUUCCUUCGGUGGCUCCUCUUUACCAUCGUCAGUCCGUUCUUCCUCACUAACAAAGCGCUCUCUAUCUCGAAAUACUCUCUGUUGACGAAGCAGUUCCUCCUCACCGGUAAACGUCCCCCCCCUUCCUUGUUGGCCGACGAUCCGGGACCUAGUUCUGCCAUUGCGAGUUUCCCUUCGACCAGUGAAUUGCGAGUACUCUCUGUUGACGAAACAGUUCCUCCUCGCCGAUAAACGUCCCUCCUUCCUCCUUGGCCGACGAUCCGGGACCUAGUUCUACCGUUGCGAGUGUUUCCCUUCGGCGAGCGAUGGGAAGAUUAUCUUUCCUCUACUACGUCCAUAAGCUUUCGUCCGUUGUCCAGAGAGGCAUAGAUCACCACCAGGUUCAUCUGGCUGAGACUGGUCCAUCGGAUGGAAACAAAGGGCAGACCUUAUUUACUUCAUGCAACAAAUGAAGAUAAUGGAGACAAUAUGUCAUAUACGAUCAAUCAGAAUCACUACUGACCAGCUUUCACCUAUUUGUGGUUACUUUUAGGAGACUGCAACUGUUCACAGAAAGCAUCAUUUAGUUAUGUUCCACUUGCACUUUCGGCCAUGUACCUGCAAAACAUUCAGUGAAAAAUCCCAUUCAACUAGAGCUUGGAAAUACAAUCCUUUCAGAAAAUUCAUAGCAUGGGUAAAAGAUUAAUGUCUUCAAAUCCAGAUUUAUAUAAA